UGCGCUCCCGUUGAAACGCCUGGUUGUUGUUUCCCCGGGCAAGAAGGAAGAAGUUGUUCACCCCGCGUUUGGGAACACCGAGAGAGAAUAACAGCUUCUACCAAAAAAAAACGUAACUUUAUUUUGUGACCGGAGGAAGACCCGUGAACCUGAAUGGAAAGAGAGUAGUGGGCUGAAAGCCAGCAGGGAUAUAACCUACCCAUCACCUUGUAGCAAAGCGCAGGUGUGUGAGCGGCACGGUGCAACUCCUCGAGCCAGCGUGCAACACCGCUGCACUGGAUUGUGUUGGGAGCAAACAAGGGAAUGACAUAAACAUACUCAGAGAUGGUUUACUUCCCGCGGGGACCUUCAGAGCCACUACUACUACUACUACAGCUGUGAACUUUUCUGUCCUAAAACCAUACAGACGAGAAGGGGGAUUACAACAAAAGUGCUUAUUUGUAUUAUUACCAGCAAAGGGAUUAAUCAUGCCGGACCAAAUCACAGUUUCAGAGUUUGUGGCAGAGACGAAUGAAGAUUAUAAAUCGCCGACUGCCUCUAACUUCACCACCAGGAUGUCCCACUGCAGGAAUACAGUGGCUGCCCUGGAGGAGGCUCUGGAUGUGGACCGCAGUGUUCUGUACAAGAUGAAGAAGUCUGUGAAGGCCAUCUACACGUCUGGUCUGGCCCAUGUAGAGAACGAGGAGCAGUACACUCAGGCCCUGGAGAAGUUUGGAGAAAACUGUGUGUACAGAGAUGAUCCUGAUCUGGGCUCAGCUUUCCUCAAGUUCUCCGUCUUCACCAAGGAGCUCACUGCGCUCUUCAAAAACCUGUUCCAAAACAUGAACAACAUCAUCACCUUUCCUCUGGACAGCCUGCUGAAAGGAGACCUGAAGGGAGUCAAAGGGGAUCUGAAAAAGCCAUUUGACAAAGCCUGGAAGGACUACGAAACAAAAGUCACCAAGAUAGAGAAGGAGAAGAAGGAGCACGCCAGGCAGCACGGGAUGAUCAGGACGGAAAUCAGCGGCGCGGAAAUCGCUGAGGAGAUGGAGAAGGAGAGGAGAUUCUUCCAGCUGCAGAUGUGUGAGUAUCUCCUCAAAGUCAAUGAGAUCAAAAUCAAGAAGGGAGUGGACCUGCUGCAGAACCUCAUCAAGUACUUCCACGCACAGUGCAAUUUCUUUCAGGAUGGUUUGAAAGCUGUGGACAACCUGAAGCCUUCCAUAGAAAAACUUGCCACAGAUCUGCACACGAUAAAGCAGGUGCAGGAUGAGGAGAGGAAACAGCUGACUCAGUUACGAGACGUCCUCAAGACGGCGCUGCAGGUGGAGCAGAAAGAGGAUUCACAGGUGCGGCAGAGCACCACCUACAGCCUGCACCAGCCACAGGGGAACAAGGAGCACGGCACAGAGCGCAGCGGCUACCUUUACAAGAAAAGUGACGGGUUGAGGAAAGUGUGGCAGAAGAGAAAGUGCACGGCGAAGAACGGAUACCUCACCAUCUCGCACGGCACAGCUAACCGGCCGCCAGCUAAACUCAACCUGCUCACCUGUCAGGUGAAACACAACCCUGAAGAGAAGAGAAGCUUCGACCUCAUAUCCCACGACAGAACUUAUCACUUUCAAGCCGAGGACGACCAGGACUGUCAGAUCUGGAUCUCGGUGCUACAGAACAGUAAGGAGGAGGCUUUGAAUCAGGCCUUCAAAGGGGACCAGCAUGUCGGCGAGAACAACAUCGUGCAGGAGCUGACCAAAGCAAUCCUGGGAGAGGUCAAGAGGAUGACGGGGAAUGACUUGUGCUGUGACUGCGGAGCGCCCAACCCGACGUGGCUGUCCACCAACCUGGGCAUCCUCACCUGCAUUGAAUGUUCGGGGAUCCACAGGGAGCUCGGAGUCCACUACUCCAGGAUCCAGUCCCUCACUCUGGACGUGCUCAGCACCUCAGAGCUCUUGCUGGCCAAGAAUGUGGGGAAUGCAGGCUUUAAUGAAAUCAUGGAGGCUUGUUUAAGUGCUGAAAAUGUGGUGAAACCCAACCCAGCCAGCGACAUGCAGGCGAGGAAAGACUUCAUCACAGCCAAAUACACAGAGAAACGCUUCGCUAGGAAGAAAUGUCCUGAUGCGACGUCGCGACUGCACACUUUGUGUGACGCAGUGAAGGCCCGGGACAUCUUCUCCCUCAUCCAGGUCUACGCCGAGGGAGUCGACCUCAUGGAGCCCAUACCUUUAGCCAACGGGCACGAACAAGGGGAGACGGCCCUUCAUCUCGCAGUCAGACUGGUGGAUAGAACGUCUCUUCACAUUGUCGACUUCCUCACUCAGAACAGUUUGAAUCUGGAUAAGCAGACGGCUAAAGGCAGCACAGCGCUGCACUACUGCUGCCUGACCGACAACAGCGAGUGUCUGAAACUGCUGCUGCGGGGGAAGGCCUCCAUAGAGAUCUCUAAUGAGGCCGGGGAGACGCCCCUGGAUAUCGCCCGGAGGCUCAAACACCUACAGUGUGAAGAGCUGUUGAACCAAGCACUGGCAGGGAAAUUCAACGCCCACGUCCAUGUUGAAUAUGAAUGGUGCCUGCAGCAUGAAGACUUGGAUGAAAGUGAUGAAGAUCUGGAUGAGAAGCCCAGCCCUCAUCGCAGAGACGAGCGUCCGGUCAGCUGUUACACCCCGAGCAGUAACUCCCACCUCCAGGCCAGUCUGGGCUCUGCGGGCCGCGACGCCAUCGGCCUCGCCAAGGACAAGCAGCGCGCCUACAUGCCCAACCUGGUCAACAACGAGACGUACGGCACCAUCCUCAACACCAACCCACCUCAGUCUGGCGGCACCUCCGCUCCGCCCCUGCCCCCGAGAAACCUGGUCCAGUUAUCCAGCCUGGGGGGCAUCAGUCAGCCUUCAGCGUCCAGCAGCUGGAAGCCCGGUUCUUUAGACCUGGCUGGCCGACAGAGGUCGUCCUCAGACCCCCCCAACAUGCACCCUCCGGUCCCCCCCCUGAGGCUCACUUCAACCGGAGGUCUGGGUCCUCCUGUGGCGAAGAUGGAGGCCAUGACCAUACAGUCCAAGUCGAGCCAGGGACCUCUGGGAUCGAGGGUGGUGCCACCUAAAUCUCCUGCAGGCAAUGAUAAAAGUUUCAACAGACCCCUCAAUCGAACAGUAUCUAUGGAAAGACCGGCUAAGGAAGUGCCAGGAUGCCCCCAGAACUCCAUAGGUCAGUCUCUGCCUGCAGCCUCCGCGCAGAGGAAGGCCUACCCAAAGCAGAGGCCGAAGCGAGUGAAAUCCAUCUACAACUGUGUAGCUGACAACCCGGACGAGCUGACCUUCUCUGAGGGCGAGGUGAUCGUGGUGGAUGGAGAGGAGGACCAGGAGUGGUGGAUUAAAGCACAAAGCGCUCCCAGUCCAACUCUGGUCCCAUACGUGUGGAUGUCAGUGCACUCGGUAACCAUGGUGGCUAAAGCAAAAAGCCAUGACCUCAUCCAGGCUCAUAUCCCUCCUCCUCCUCUUUUUCCGCCUGCUGCUGCUUCCUCUGUGGAGCCCCUUGUGUGAACAUCGACCAGCUGCAACUUGUUUUCCUCUGAGCCACCUCUGCAGAUACGACCGUAUUUAGGCUCUCUCCUAAAGUCCCCCGACGUCCCCGCCGUGCUUCCUCUCUGUCCUGUACUCCGCAGCGUUAUUACUCUUUCAUGUGACUUUUCAUUUCUGUGUAUGAAAAUGUUUCAUAAGAGAAGUUAAAUAUAUGACGGAAGGUUGUUUUGCUUAUAGCAACAACAUUUCUUAAUAUUCUGUAUUUAUUCUGUGUAAACAUUGUUGGAGCAGAAACGUGUACUAGCUUUUUAUUUUCAGGUAUAGAAGGCCUUUAAAUUGACUUAAAUGGACUUAAUAAGUACUGUCUCCUUUAUCAGCCAAGCUGGGCCACAUCGAAGGCGAUCCGAUCAGAAGAGGAGCCUUCCCGGUGACAUUCGUACACUUCAUCGCUGACUGAAAAGUUCCUCUUCGGGUCUCAGGAAGUGUUGCGGGACUCAUCGUCCCUCCUUCAUCCGUGUCUGCACAGCCAGUCAGCUAAAAACAUCCACCAUCAUCCCAGUGUUUGCUGUCAUCAUCUUCAUCAGCGAGCUUCUUAAUGUGUCACUGCGGUUUUGCCACUUCGGCGGCAACAGGCAGAAACUCUGGGUGUCACGCCUCGCGAGGCCUCAUGGGACUGUGUGUGAUUUUUAAUGCUUGCUGUUAAUGUUUCUGACAAAGAUUCUUUAAAAAAACAACAAAAAAAACCAACAAUGAUUGUAGUGAAUGACCUCUCGCAAUAAAUGCACUUUGCUUUGUCGUUGUUGCAACAUAAGACGACAUGUGACAUAAUGAAGGUUGAUAUGUACAGUAUUUCCAUUUUCUGUUCAGCUGCAUUGUACAGAUAGGACCGAGAAGACAACAGCGAUGUAUUUUAACUCUCCAACAACUCUAAAUGUGAUCAACAUACUUACAUUCCACCUCUGUGCAUGAGCGAUUCUUUUUUUUUUUUUUUUUUUAAAUGCCUUCCUGCUUAUAGGUGUGACCUUUCCAAUUCUGCAGUAGACCGCCAGUGUGGAGGUUUAUCUAAUGGUGCUAAAUCAACCCCCAAAUAUGCUCGAAGCUACACCCGAGGGAGCGCCUCCCUGUCCCCGUUUCAAAGACUGCCUGGCAUUGAAAGGAGGCAAGAAAUAAUGUAAAAAUAGCCUCUGACUCAUCACACCUGGGAGAAGCCUUUUUCUAACCAGUGUGUGAUGAAGUAGCUUUUCCACACACACACAUUGCCUGUACUGUGUAACCUUAGAGGAUAAUAUUGAACAGCAACACAACCAGUUCUUUCUCUUGUGCUGUUUGAGGUCAAAUACUGACACCGACUGGAGCUGCGGCAGCCAGUAAUUACCUUUAUGCCGAGUCUGACGCCUCAGCUGUCAUCGCCUGUCAUCUGCCUUAUUAGAGGAACAGGAAGUGUUUGUGUGUGCGUGUCUCGUCUGCACAGAAUAAGCUGAGAGUGAAAGAAUAUUGAAGUAAGAGGAAAUAAAAGGGAGUGUGGCAAUGUGAUGAAAAGCGGGGAGUUAGCUGUCUGACUUGUUGCUUCCGCUUGCCUUUGUUCACAAAUGACUUGCAUUUAGUCUCCAUCUUUGACACCAUACAGAGAAGGAAAUGUCCUUCCUACAGCUUAGGCCUCAUAUGUACAUCUCUGGGGUCCCAUAUUGUAGAAAGAUGAGUUUAUCAAUAGUGUUGUGAAAUAAAUAUGAAACAUUCAAUGUAAUUAACUUCAUUAAUGGUUGUAGAACAACUUUCUCUCUGUUCAUAAUGUUGAUAUUUUAGGCCUUUAACCUGAAACCAGAGCCUUCUGUGGAUUUGUGAAUGAUGAGACGAGAAGCAUGUGAAUCGUAGCCGACACGCUCUCUUCUUCAUGUUUAAUAUGAACUCACUGGAAACAGGAAGAUUUAAUAAUCUAUUCAUGUAAAUAGAUUUGAUUUUGUUGAUAUUUAUAUGUUUAAAAAAAACGAGUUAACCUGGACAGUAAAUGUCUUUUAAUGUGCUGUGGUGAUGAGCAGUUACAGAUACAACCUCAGCUGGACCUGUGUGUGUGGUGUGUGUGUGUGUGUGUGUGUGUGUGUGCUGAAAACACAGUUACACACUGAUUACUGGGAAAAUAAACUUCAUUCAUUCUCAUAAACUGUCUGUGGAUCACUGCAUCGACUCUUAACGCUAUUGUGCAAGUAAAUGGGAAAAUGAAACUGGAAUAAUAAAAUAUAAAAUAAUA